rnacentral:rRNA from 1 species
GACGAACGCUGGCGGCGUGCCUAAUACAUGCAAGUCGAGCGGACAGAAGGGAGCUUGCUCCCGGAAGUUAGCGGCGGACGGGUGAGUAACACGUGGGCAACCUACCCUGUAGAUCGGGAUAACAUCGAGAAAUCGGUGCUAAUACCGGAUAAUCAUUUGAAGUGCAUGCUUCGAAUGUAAAAGAUGGCUCCGGCUAUCACUACGGGAUGGGCCCGCGGCGCAUUAGCUAGUUGGUAAGGUAAUGGCUUACCAAGGCAACGAUGCGUAGCCGACCUGGGAGGGUGAUCGGCCACACUGGGACUGAGACACGGCCCAGACUCCUACGGGAGGCAGCAGUAGGGAAUCUUCCGCAAUGGACGAAAGUCUGACGGAGCAACGCCGCGUGAGUGAUGAAGGUUUUCGGAUCGUAAAGCUCUGUUGUUAGGGAAGAACAAGUGCCGUUUGAAUAAGGCGGCACCUUGACGGUACCUAACCAGAAAGCCUCGGCUAACUACGUGCCAGCAGCCGCGGUAAAAC